rnacentral:misc_RNA from 1 species
UCUCAGAAGGAAAUGCACAAAUAUGAAAAAGAGGCUAAGCAGCAAGGAAAAGGUUCAUUUGCUUAUGCCUGGGCAUUGGAUGAGAGUGCUGAAGAAAGAGAGAGGGGAAUAACUAUGACAGUGGGUGUUGCCUACUUUAACACAAAAUGUUACCGUGUUGUUCUGCUUGAUUCCCCAGGCCACAGGGACUUUGUCCCAAAUAUGAUAUCAGGGGCUACACAAGCAGAUGCAGCAGUUCUUGUAAUUGAUGCUUCAGUUGGUGCGUUUGAAGCAGGUAUUGAUGCUACUGGAGGUCAGACGAGGGAGCAUGCACAACUUAUCAAAAGCUUUGGGGUGGAUCAGAUUAUAAUUGCAGUUAACAAAAUGGAUGCAGUGGGAUACUCCCAAGAACGAUUUGAUGCAAUUAAGAAACAAUUGGGCACAUUUCUCCGUGCUUGUAAGUUUAAAGAUUCUUCAGUAACAUGGAUUCCCGUAAGUGCCAUGGAAAACCAAAAUUUGGUGACAGGUCCAUCAGAAUCACGGUUCUUGUCCUGGUUUCGAGGUCCUUGCCUAUUGGAUGCAAUAGACUCUCUCCAACCUCCUCAAAGAGACUACUCGAAGCCAUUUUUAUUGCCAAUAUGUGAUGUUGUUAGAGCACAGUCUCAAGGGCAAGUGUCAAUAUGCGGUAAGUUGGAGAGGGGAGCUCUUCAAACUGGAAAUAAGGUUUUAGUCAUGCCAUUCAGAGAUGUGGCAACAGUGCGUUCUUUGGAACGUGAUUCUCAGGUUUGUAACGCCGCAAAAGCUGGAGACAGUGUCACUAUCAAUCUACAGGGUAUUGAUGCCAAUCACGUGAUGGCGGGGGGUGUCUUGUGCCACCCUGAAUUCCCAGUUCCAGUUGCAAAUCAUUUGGAACUGAAGGUCCUCAUCUUGGAGAAUGGCAUUCCAAUUGUAAUUGGCUCUCAGUUAGAAUUUCUUGUACACCACGCUAAGGAGGCUGCAAGAGUUGUGAGGAUUUUGUCCUUGCUUGAUCCAAAGACUGGAAAGGAGACCAAGAAAUCACCUAGAUGUCUUCUAGCAAAGCAGAAUGCUAUAAUUGAGGUAGUUUUGCAAGGGAUAAUUUGUGUUGAAGAGCAUUCUAAAUGUAAGGGUCUUGGAAGGGUGUCCCUCAGAGCAUCAGGAAGAACCAUCGCUCUUGGUCUUGUGACUAGAGUUCUAGAGAAGAAGGAAUAGAGAAAUUACCACUGCUGGAAUGAGGUUUGACAUAUCCAGAAUCAGCUGGUAGAGAUAUACAUCAGCGAGGACCUUUAGCUUGAAACAAUGACCUCACUCGCGGUUGAGUGGCAUCCUUUUCUUUAUCUUCUUCUUUCUCCUCUCAUGCCUGUCCUGAUCUCCCCUAGAGAUCCACAAUUUUUGUAGUUGCGAUGAAUGUUAUUAAUGAUUCUACAGUGUCAUUAGCUCUAGACAUGGGUUUCUUCCCUUCAUUUUUGUGGUGGAUCCUUUCUGUACUUGUACAUUGGAGGAAUCUGAUAUAUAUUUAGGGACCCCUCUUUGAGCGACAUAUUCACAACUUUAUGU